rnacentral:misc_RNA from 1 species
GCUUAUCUUGGGAACCUUUCUUGCUGUCUUUACGUAUAUCUAAACAAGAAUCUAACAGAUAAGCCACUUUCUCCAACCACUCCUCGACGACUUUUAUGAAGCCGCCAUCUUUUUCCCGUGUUCUGCACUUGUGAACGGUUUAGAGUGUGUGUUAUGUUGGGGCAAGCAAAGUGUUUCACCGAGAAUUAGACAGAAAAUGGGUUGGGGAAAUCUCUUCUUCGCUGUCCUGAUAACCUCCUCAGUAGCUCUGAUUACAUACAAUAUUCUCAUCUCUGCCAAUGCACCUCUCAAGCAAGACCUUCCAGGUCCAUCUACUACAUCUUCCUCUUUUCUUUCUGUUGACCCCAUAAUCAAGAUGCCACUUGAGAGGUCCAGGAGAUACGGUUCUGCCAAGAAGAGGCUGUUUCACACUGCUGUUACAGCCUCCGAUUCAGUUUAUAACACGUGGCAGUGUAGGGUAAUGUACUACUGGUUCAAGAAGUUCAAGGAUGGACCUAAUUCUGAGAUGGGUGGCUUUACCAGGAUCUUGCACUCUGGAAAACCUGACAAGUUCAUGGAUGAGAUCCCAACCUUCAUAGCCCAGCCUCUUCCGUCUGGCAUGGAUCAGGGUUAUAUAGUCCUGAACAGACCUUGGGCAUUUGUGCAAUGGCUUCAACAAGCAGACAUAAAAGAAGAUUACAUACUAAUGGCAGAGCCGGAUCAUAUAAUUGUUAAGCCUAUGCCAAACUUAUCUAAAGAUGGGCUUGGAGCUGCAUUUCCUUUCUUUUAUAUUGAGCCUAAGAAGUAUGAAUCAGUCCUCCGAAAGUACUUCCCUGAGGACAAGGGACCAAUAACAAGCAUUGAUCCUAUAGGAAAUUCUCCUGUCAUCCUUGGAAAGGAAUCUCUUAAGAAGAUUGCUCCCACUUGGAUGAAUGUUUCCUUGGCAAUGAAGAAGGAUCCUGAAACAGAUAAAGCUUUUGGUUGGGUGCUUGAAAUGUAUGCUUAUGCUGUUGCAUCUGCUCUUCAUGGUGUUAGGAACAUAUUAUACAAGGACUUCAUGAUUCAGCCCCCAUGGGAUACGGAAGUUGGCAAGAAGUUCAUAAUUCAUUACACUUAUGGAUGUGACUACAACUUAAAGGGUGAGCUAACAUAUGGCAAAAUUGGAGAGUGGCGAUUUGACAAGAGAUCCUAUCUACGGGGACCUCCACCAAAAAAUCUUCCCUUACCCCCUCCAGGGGUUCCUGAAAGUGUGGUAAACCUUGUAAAGAUGGUCAACGAAGCAACAGCCAACAUUCCCAAUUGGGACACUGAGUAGAUGUGUUCUUUCCAGGUGGUCAAGCCCCAUAUAACUUUAUUCUUGAGAUGGUUGAAAUUUUGAUCCAUAGCCAUUCAGAAAUUUCACUGUUUAGAAACCUCAGGCUAAUCACUUCAAAUUAAGGGAUAGCAUAAUAUAGGUAUAAAUUAAGGAAGUUCUUUUAUAUCUCAAUUUAGAACAAACACAGUAUAAAUUUUAUUCUUCCUUCAUUUGUGGCAGAUAAAUACUGCACACUCUCAAAUUGAGAGAGAAAUUUAUUAUAGUUGCUGGUUUUGAUCUAGUUGAGCUAGAUGGUUACAUGAUGGUGAAGCUUAAUGUUCUGAAUUUUAAUAAUGCUGACAAAAAAUGACGAGUAUCUGCUAGUCAGACUAGCCUGUAAAGUAUUAGUCAUAGAAUUGCAUUUGUUGAUCUAAAGUCUUGGGUUUUUGAAUCUUAGAGUGCAUUAUUGGCAAUUAUAAGAAGCAUGGUAAGGGUUACAAGCUGUGUUCAUUGGUUUGUAUUUUUAUGAGGGAAUUGAGAUUGAGGUGAAGAGUUAAAUGAAGGGGAUUAUAAGAGGUAAAAACAUUCCAUUUUCUUGAAGUCUCAUUGUUAAACAUGGUGAUAGAGAUACAUAGAAAUAUCAGAAAUGGAGUAGUGAAGGGCAGUGGUGGUGGGCACUGCGCAAUGUCAAUGAUAGCUAAAGGGGGUUGCAGGAUGCCAGGAUCGUGAGGUGAUGGAGCUGGUGGCUGCAAGAAUGAAGGUGAGAUACUUCUCUUGGUGGUGGAGAUGGCAGCAGGUUUCUGGUGGUGACGAUUUGGUAGAGAUAGUUGGAUCCAUGUUGGCAGUAGUGGUAUUCUGGUGGUCCUAUGGUAUUACUGGGGGCCAAUAGCAUUAUGAUAGAUGAUAUGCAAAUGAUAGAGAGUUUCUAAAUGGAAUUGGCAUGCAAGUGUUUCUAAAUAGUUCUGCCUGAUGGACUGUUUAUCCACAGAUUUCUAAUUUAAGUGUUCAAAUUAGGUGCUGAACUCAAGUGUUUCUUAGGAAAAUAGCAAGUGCAUUGGACACUUGGGGUUUUGAUCUGGUCCAGUUCCAGGACAUGACAUUGACCCUCUGUGUGUUUGUGGUACAAUAAUGUAUAACAGAAUAUCCCACUCUUUUUUCUGCGAGUUAAUAUCUAGUAUACAUACAAGUUGUAAGAGAAUAGUUUAAAUAUCAAAACAUACAGGUGAUUUCAAGUUGUGAUCUAGAAAUUGAUAGCAAAGAAAGAGGAAGAGAUUGAACUGAUCUUCCCUAAAGAAAAUUCUAUUGAGAAUUGAUUUUUAAAGUUGAUAAUUGGAUGCCAAAACUGAUAGCCAUCUAGUUGGUUGUGUUUUGAAGAGAUUAGUGUUGAAAUAUCAUGAUUUGGCAGGAAAGAAGGGGUAUAGAAAAAGCAGAAAAGCACAUUAUACCUUAUCUCUAGGAUAGAGCAAAAGAUACCUUUUGGGCAAAUCAGGAGAUAAUCAUGUCUUUUAUUUUCACAAGAACGAGUGACAUGAUUUGAAUUUGGAGGUUAAAAAUGUUGAUUUCUCUUUCCCCUUAUCUUAAUUCUUUAAUUUAUAAACCAAAGUAGACGGGAUAAUAUGUAUUGCAAGCAAGAAAAAAGAGGAGGGGGGACUGGGUAGCCAUUCGUGGUGGAACCGACCACUUAAUAAUGUUAGGUUCAUGAGGCUUUCUAAUACGCCAAUACCUGACACACGGUCCAUGAAAUGAGCGAAUUUUCCAUUUCUCCAUAGGGUUGUGGUCCCUUGAGGAGGAGCUUCACUUUAGGGCCAUAGCGGGGGAGAUCCCCAUAUCGUUUAACCUAUUUCUUUAUCGUCCAUGACUAUGCCCAAAACAUCAUGUUACCCUUACCCAAAUUCAAAGAUUAGUUUUUUCUGAUUUGACUUACCCCAUUAUUUAUUUCUUUAAUUUUAUUAAGAAAAAAAUAGACUCCAACAUUUUUAUUAAGUGUUGAGAGAUAUACCGAAUUAUCUAUCACCAAACUAAAAUUUUAAGUUUUAGAUUUUAAAGAAUAAGAAUAUUCAAACUCCUAAUCUUACAAGUAAACUCUGCUAAGAGAUCAAUUCUAUGUUACUGAUGCAACUAUAUUUCGAUGAUAAGAGCUAUUUUUUAAUUGUAUACUACUGUUAAAUUUACUGUCGCAAAAGUCUACAUUAUUAGUGAAUUAAUGUUAGUCUUGUGAUAUGGCUUGAAAUUUUUAGUUUAUCAGGAAUCAUAGUCCUACUAAUGAAAUAGAUUCGUUUGAGAAUUCAUGAAAAUAAAGAAUUAAAAGGAAUAAAAGUUAGAGAGUAAUGAUGAAGAGUGACUGAGUGAGAAGAAAAGGAAUAAAGCAGAAAACAUGCCGGGGAGGCGUGAAUAAAUCUAUGGUUGUCGGCAAACAAGAGUGACCCAUCAUCCAUGCAAGCACCUCACGUGACACAUAUUUCGCUAUUAUCCUCACAAAGCAUACAGAACAAGUACAGAAUGGAGGGGAACAGAAGGUGGCGAGUGAUGAGUGGGUGAGGAAGGGCAAGAAAAAAGUAAGCCAAAGACUGCAGCAGGGUGCUCAUUUGCUCAUCUCUUCACUCUGAUAUUUUCCCUGAAGCAGAUCAGUAAGAGUUGUAGAUUUCACUUUGUUAAAUAUUGUAAUAAGUUACUCGUGAUCUCCUUUCUUUCUUUUUUACUUAAAUACUUCAAAAUUGUACCUACUUCUAUAUCCUUGUUAAAAAUUAAGUUUCUUAUUGCAAAUUUGUAUGUAUUAACUUGAUUUGGAGUGGUCAC